UACGUAGGAUGCGAGCGUUGUCCGGAAUUAUUGGGCGUAAAGGGCUCGUAGGCGGUUUGUCGCGUCUGCUGUGAAAACUCGGGGCUUAACUCCGGGCCUGCAGUGGGUACGGGCAGACUAGAGUGCGGUAGGGGAGACUGGAAUUCCGGGUGUAGCGGUGGAAUGCGUAGAGAUCCGGAAGAACACCGGUGGCGAAGGCGGCCUGCUGGGCAGUAUAGCUGACACUGAGGCGCGACAGCGUGGGGAGCAAACAGG
rnacentral:rRNA from 1 species